GGGGGGGGGGGGGGGGGGGGGGGGGGCGGGGGGGGCGGGGGGGGCGUGCGGGUGGAGUGGGGCGCGGGUGCGUAACGCGUGGGAGCCUGCCCUGAGGGUCGGGGUAGCUCCCCGAAAGGGGUGCGAAUACCGGAUAAUGUCUUCGGACCAAAGGUUUAUCGCCUUUGGAUGGGCCCGCGUUGGAUUAGCUAGUUGGUAGGGUAAAAGCCUACCAAGGCGACGAUCCAUAGCUGGUCUGAGAGGAUGAUCAGCCACACUGGGACUGAGACACGGCCCAGACUCCUACGGGAGGCAGCAGUGGGGAAUAUUGGACAAUGGGCGAAAGCCUGAUCCAGCAAUGCCGCGUGAGUGAUGAAGGCCUUAGGGUUGUAAAGCUCUUUUACCCGGGAUGAUAAUGACAGUACCGGGAGAAUAAGCUCCGGCUAACUCCGUG
rnacentral:rRNA from 1 species